GUUGCUAGCGUUAUCCGGAAUUAUUGGGCGUAAGCGCGCGUAUGCGGUUUUUUAAGUCUGAUGUGAAAGCCCACGGCUCAACCGUGGAGGGUCAUUGGAAACUGGAAAACUUGAGUGCAGAAGAGGAAAGUGGAAUUCCAUGUGUACGGUGAAAUGCGCAGAGAUAUGGAGGAACACCAGUGGCGAAGGCGACUUUCUGGUCUGUAACUGACGCUGAUGUGCGAAAGCGUGGGGAUCAAACAGGAUUAAUACCCUGGUAGUCAAGGGCG
rnacentral:rRNA from 1 species